GUCAGGUGAUCUUAUUCGUAUCCGGGUGAAAAGGGAAUCCCGUGAAACUCGGGAGCAGCCCCGCUACUGUGAAGAGUGACGAAAACUGCACAUUGCCACUAUCCGCCUCAGGCGGACGGGAAGGCGCAGCGAGUAGAAUGACCUCUGAGCCAGGAGACCUGCCGAAAUU
rnacentral:ncRNA from 1 species